rnacentral:lncRNA from 1 species
GUCACAUUGUUCUGUUCAAAAUUUUCCUGGAACUUUGUGCACACUCACACAUUCUGAUUGCACAUUUAAUUUGUCUGGCAGAAAAUAUUGGACAGUACUAGCUCUUAUGGAGGCCAGAGACUAAGACAAUUAAUAUUGUUAAAAUAGCAUUGGAAACAUCCUAUCAGAGCACUUCAUUAGCUUAUUUCGUAGGAGCGUACAUGAUCGAACACUAAUGUAUUGUCCCUGAUGGAUAAAUGAACAGGUUUACUUCUAUAUCUUUCUACAUUUUUGUCCUAUUCCCACAGGUCAGUAAAGGUAGAACUAAGGUUUCAUAUGAAAAUGUUUAUUCCUUCCCCUUGAGGUCUGACAUGAAGGGAAAGCUCAUCCUCAGGGGCCAGUGGGAAUUCUGAGAUCAGUAAGCAUUUGUUCCCUAGAAUAUGACCUUCUUUCUAAGGAUUCUGUAAUGCUUCAGUUACUAUAAGGCACUGUCUAUGAAGUCAGCUGUGGAACCUGGAUCUUUAAUUUAAGGUCUGGUCUCCAUAACUGAGUAGUGAGGAUAAGUGAUGAACUUCUGAGUUUCUUUUACUUUCUGACGCAAACAGUGGUCUAUUUUAGAAACUCUUGGGUAUCAGUGAUUACUAUAAUAAUUGAUCUUAUUUAGAAAUGUGAACAAAUGAAUUACACAAUCACCUCUGUCAAACUGAGGCCUAGCGCAAAUACCUACUCUAAGAAAAACAUUACAAUAUGAAGAUCAGUUUUUCAUUUGUGUGGUACCAGGAAGAACUGAGAUAUUUGAAAGCUAAGCUGUUUGCAUAUAUCAGAGGAAUUUGAUGGUACAAUGUCUAUACAUAUCUAAAUUUGGAGUGAAAUUGUAACUCUUUAAGUCACUCUUUAAGUCAUUUAUGCUGGCAGCAUAAAUACAAUUGCCGUAAACAGACCCCUAGAAAAGGCAAAAAGACAGAAAAAAUGAAAAGAAAGAAAGAAAAGUAAGUACUAUAUGUGAACUCUUCACAAUAUAUUUUAAUUUGCCGGCCAACCAGUCACUAGGAUUGAAUUAUUUUUUCUUUGGAUUUUUGUUUUUUUUGUUUUUCUCAUCAACCGAGUGAACAACACAUGAGCACUGGCUCCAGCUACAUAUUGCAUUAAACAUUUUUAGAUGUGAAAUGAUUAAAUUUACAGUUUUUUUUUAACAUGGAUUUCCUUGUCUGCUUUUAUAUACCCCCAAUGGAUUUGCAAUGUGUUAAAGAAAGAUACUAGUUACAAUGAAUGGAGUUAUGAUGGGUACAUUGAGGAAACUUUGAGGCCUAUGUCUUAGAGAAAAAAUUCUAAACUAAUAUGUUUAAAGGAGCAAGCAUUUAUUGUUGUUGUCAUAUUGGUUGCUCAGUGAAUAUCUUUUAUGUAUUCCUUACUAAAUAUUCCAUUAGAAAUGUUUUGUUUCCCAACUCCCUAAUUUCCCUUGUGCUUUGUAGACUGGAAGUUAUAUAGAACAAAAGAGACAUUUUGCUGCUUGGAAUUUUCACUGCCACCCCCAGAGACGUGCUAUUUUUGUCACUUGUACCAUCUUCUUUCUCUGGGAAAAAUGAGAACAAGGCACUCCAGAGGUUGGCGUGGACCAAAAACUGGGUUUCAUUUGGACGAGUUUAUUCUUUCCUCUUGAGAUAAAACUAUGAAGGAAAGUAUUGGGAAUAAUUCGGCCUCGCAUCUUCAAAGGCCUGUGUGAAUUCUCAGAACGGCAAGCAUUUUAUUCUGAGAAUACUGGCAUUCUUUUAAAUAGCUGCAAUGUCCCAGUGACAAUGAGAGUCUGUCCAGGUGACAGAGCUUAGAAGGGAAGGGAAACCAUCUAUGCUUUUGUCUUAACUCUCAAAUGCCAGCUCUGCAGAAAGUGACAACUUCUCUGUAAGACCCUUCCUACUUGUGGUCCUUUGGACAUCCUUGAAGGAGAUGACUUCUUGGGAACCCUUUUGAGAAUGAAUGACAUCAGCAAAUCCCUAAACAAGACUCUUCAUACAGAGCAUUUCAUCUACCUAUUGUCCAAGGGCUGCCCUCUGAAGGUGAUGGCCACAAAGAUGAGGUGGAUUUGUUACUCUGGAUACCAUUGCUUCUACCACCAGCUUCUCCAAAUCUACGACAGUCUUCCUCAGGCAUGGAAACUCUUCUCUUUCCUGUGUUGCAGUGGAUACCUCCUGCAGAUAAGAAAUGCUUAACUGAGAAAUGCUCAUGUUGGGAUAUCAUCGAUGAGACUUUAAUUUGGGCAUGGUGACUGUUUCCCUUGCUUCCACUUGACUCAAUCCCAGGAGCCUCAGUAGAGGAAAUAUUAUUGCACAAGAAACUCAAAAUGGUGGAAUUGCUCAGUGCUCCCAUAAAAAUACAUUUAUAAAUUUCAUUUGCCAUGUGGUAAAUUUAAAGAAUAAGAUCUAUUUUUUUUCAAAAAUCAAAGCAUAUCUAAAAUAUCUAACAUAUAAAUUAAGCACCCUCCUUUCUCCUAAUACUAUCUCCCAAAGUUUUUCUCUACUAAGGGAGUUGUGUGCAUUCUUUAAGUGGAUAGAUGCGCACACACACACGUUAUUUUUAGGGGGUUCUGGAAUUGGAGCUAUAUUGUACACAUUAUUCUGCAAAUUGCCUCAUUUAACAAUUUUUUCAAUGCCCUUUUUCUGUUUCACUACUACAUAUCUGUGUCAUUUGUUGAAUGACUGCAUGACUGUUUUGUACAUGAAAUAUAAUUAAACGUUUUAAGCACUUAUUCAUAGAUAUUUAUGUUAGCACCAAAUUUCUGUGCAAUGAACCUCCCUAUAUAUCAAUAAUUUAUAUUUGUCUACUAUAUCAUAAUAAAUUACAGUCGAAAUACUGGGAUUAAGUAUAUGCACAUUUCAAAUUUUGAAAAUAAUCACAAGAUUUCCUUAGAAAUAUGGUAACAUCUUUAUCCUUAAAUGGCAAUGAAUGAAUUUGCCAGCUUUCCCACAACCUCACAGAUAAUGAAUUUUAUGAGUAUUUAAAAUCUUUGCCAGUGUGAUAGCCCAAACUAUUGUCUUAAAUUGUAUUUCUUUUGUUUUUGAUCAUUUUUCAUGUGUUUAUUAGCCAUCUAUAUUUAAAAUUUUUCUCUUUAUGUCCAAUUUUGGGGCUGGGGGAGGUUUUAGUCUCUUGCUGAUUUCAGAGAGCUCAUUUAUUAUUGAGGGAGUAAGCUUUUGGAUUGUCAAGCAUUACAGAUAUUUUUAACACCUUUAAACUUCAUUUUUGUUAUAAGAAUGUAUGAUUGUUAUAUGUCCAAGUAUAACCAUGUUUGCUUCUAUGGCUUCUGAGUUUCAUGUCAUUUUGGAAAAAUAUUUAUACUGAUCCCAUAAAACUCUUCACCUAUGUUAACUUCAAAUUCUUUUGUGUUUUUUUUAAUUCAAAUUCUUAAAUCAUGAGAAUUUUUUUGAUUUGAAAUUUAAAGUUGCCAAGUUAUUUGCCAUUAUUUGCGAUUAUUGGCCAAUAAUUGCCCAUUUAUCUGUAAUGCCAUCUUGCACAUAUACUGUAUUCUCAUCUGUGACUGGCUCCAUUUUUGUUCUGUGGGUCUGUGUGUCUCUUCUUCUGCCUCCUGUCUCAUGUGUCUUCUCGUUGGAAGAAAUUACAGUUUAGACUGCAAUUUCAUCAACUUUAAUAAAUUAAUUUAGGGGAGAAUUGGUUUUUAAUCAUAUGUCUUCCUAUCCAAGGACAAGGUAUGUCUUUCCUUUUAUUCAAUAAUUUUAAUUACUUUUAAUAUUUUCACUUUGUGAUAUGGAUAUUUUCCUUCAGUUCAUUUUCUUACUUAAUAAUUUUUCUUUAUCUAAAAGUCGUGUUUUGUUUUGGGAGUAAAUGGUCUCCUUACCCUUUCUUAGGGUUUUUCAGAUUUUUUCAAAUUAUAUCCUAAAUCUCUUACAAAUACUAACAGAUGUGAUUCUCCCCUUCCAAAUUAUGUGAAUUUUAGUUAUGUUAAUAAAAUUCACUGACUGGUACUUUCAGAGCACUUAAACAAUUGUGGAAAUAUUACCCACCCUUUAUUUAAUUAGGUUUUAAUGGAUAGUUCUCGGGUUUGACCAGCACGUUGUUGCUGGUCUAUUACCAAAAAAGACUCUCAUAAACAAUGAUGAUCAAGCAAAGCUGAGUUUAUUAGACCUACUCCAGCAAGGGAAAACACCACUUUGACAAGGUUUAGUAGUAUUUCAAAAACAAGAAAUGAUGGGUUUGGGGGAUGCGCUAAUGUGGUUUAAGGCAGGAUUUUCAAGGCAAUAAACUGGUUAGGAGUGGGAAAAAUUUGUGAUACAAUAGUUUAAAGUUAAUGAAAGAGUAAAAUGAGGACCUUGAUGUGAGUGUAGAUCAUCAAAUUUUUGUCUAAUGAAUGAGCAAUUUCCCUAUGAGUAAUGAUGGAAGAACUAUUUAUUUAGAUGAAUUAACUGAAUUUAUUUAUUGGUUUAUGGUUUUAUCUUGUUUAUAGGACUCUGCUGGGGGUGGUAUCAGGUCUUAUUUCCAAUAGGUAAGUUAUUUUGAUGUAAGUGGUCUCAGUCAUCAGAGUAAUAUGCUAAUUCUAAAUUUGAGAUUUUUGUGUGUGUCAUGUUAGGAAAAGUCUCUUACAUUUUAUAUAUUUCUAAGAAAUUUAAAUCAAAACCAAGUGGUGAAUGUAACCAAAUGCUUCAUAAAAAUUAUAUUAUUCCUUAAACUUCAUCUGUGAAAAUAAUUCAUUUUUAGUAUUGAAAUUCCCUUAUGUUGUUCAUUCAACAGACUUUUAAAGUUUUACUUUUUAAAUUCACUACUGAAUUAUGAGUAUCUUCAUUUGAUUUUGGUUUUUUACAACUGUACUACUAAAAGAAAUUGAUCUGUAAUUUUACAUUUUGCUCUGUUUUUGUCAUGUUUGCAUGUUAGAUUUCCUGGUUGAGUUAAAAUAACUUUAACAAUUUUCUUUUGGAGUUCCCGUUGUGGCGCAGUGGUUAACAAAUCAGACUAGGAACCAUGAGGUUGCGGGUUCGAUCCCUGGCUUUGCUCAGUGGGUUGGAUCCCACGUUGCUGCGGCUCUGGCAUAGGCCAACAGCUAUAGCUCCAGUUAGACUCC